AUACAAUCUCGGUGCUUAUGGCUCGACGCGACGGUGAGUAAUGCCUAGGAAUUSCUUGAUGUGGGGAUACCAUUGAAACGAUGGCUAAUACCGCAUAAUGCUACGGCCAAAGAGGGGAUCUUCGGRCCUCUCGCGUCAAGAUAUGCCUAGGUGGGAUUAGCUAGUUGGUGAGGUAAUGGCUCACCAAGGCGACGAUCCCUAGCUGGUCUGAGAGGAUGAUCAGCCACACUGGAACUGAGACACGGUCCAGACUCUACGGAGGCAGCAGUGGGAAUAUUGCACAAUGGCGAAAGCCUGAUGCAGCCAUGCCGCGUGUAUGAAGAAGGCUUCGGGUUGUAAAGUACUUUCAGUUGUGAGGAAGGGUGUGUAGUUAAUMUGCGCAUCUUGACGUUAGCAACAGAAGAAGCACCGGCUAACUCCGUGCCAGCAGCCGCGUAAUACGGAGGUGCGAGCGUUAAUCGGAAUUACUGGCGUAAAGCGCAUGCAGUGUUUAUAAGUCAGAUGUGAAAGCCCGGGCUCAACCUCGGAACUGCAUUUGAAACUGGUGAACUAGAGUGCUGUAGAGGGGGGUAGAAUNUCAGGUGUAGCGGUGAAAUGCGUAGAGAUCUGAAGGAAUACCAGUGCGAAGGCGGCCCCCUGKACAGA
rnacentral:rRNA from 1 species